GGCAUUUGCACACAGCCUCCCGUUUCAAGUUGCAUGUCUCCGGAGUCCCAGGGAAGGCCCCAGCCUGUCUCCCUUCUCAGAGCCCCAGGGAGUGAUGAAAAGCCCCUGAACCAGCCACAGGACUCGCAGAGACACUGGGGCUCAGAAAGAUUGACUUGGUCAAAGUCUCACCGCCUGUAGGGGGUGCAGAGCCGAAGAGGUCAUGACAGUGCAGAGAGCACAGUUUGACUGUGACAUGACAGGCGUCGGCUGGGAUUCAUCCUCCUCACUCAGAAGAAAGUUCUCAGAUCUCUUCUGAAGAGACAGAAAAGACAGGAUAUAAAAAUAAAAAUGGAAAGGGUUUUCUCAGCAGGAAGGAUGGGCAUCUGCUUUUCCUGGACCCACUAUUUCUUCUCCAGGGACCGCCCAGGCCUUCCAACAAAAACCUCUGGGUCUAAGCUUCUGCAGGUGCCAUCCAAAGAUACCUGCGCCGGCAGCAGGGGAGCAUUGGCAGUGUUCCAAGAACUUAAAACCUCGUGAAACCUUGCGCUUGGGAGGAAUCUUGGAAAUCAGCCACCCAAUUCUUCAUUUGAUGCUUGAGUCUCUAUCAACCUCUGCUGGGAACUCACCCCUAUUCAAAAGCUUUGAUAACUUGGAGUGCUAGAAAGUCCUUUCACUGGACUUGAGAGCAGGACUGUGAUUUCUUGUUUGCUGUGAUAUUCCUACUCCCCCCCACCCGCCCCCCACAACAGUGCUCAAUAAAUACUAGUUGAAUGGAUGGAUGAAUGAAUGAGCUAGUGAGCAGAUCUUCUGCCCAGUUUGUGUGGUUGCUGUGAAGGAGGGCGUCAGGGUCUGCCUGGGAUGCUGUCAGCGUGACUCAGCACAGCCUGUGCCUUGCUGAGGGCAGAUGCCCUUGGAACUUGAGGUGGAUAGGAGAGUUCCAAGCUAAGAGGUCCCUGGGGUGGAGAGACGAGUCUUUCCAGUGUUCCGAGUGCCAGGGCUGGGUAGCAGUCUUACUCCAUGGCCAUGACUUAUUACAUUCCCGGGUAAAUCGAAAUACAAUCCAUAUGUUCUGGGGUUAUUUACACGAUUCUCAUCAAGAUGCCGCCGUUGCGUAAGAGCCAUUUGACAUCGAUGGCACGGCUUUCUUUCUUCCAUUCUGAGAAGAGUCCCUGAAGAAAAGCCAAUUCCACUGUCCCCGGAAAGGGAGGGGCAGGAGCACAGGGAACAGUCAUCUGGGGCAGCCCUGCUGGCAACGCAGUGCCUGGGGAGACUGUUUUCAGUGAGUCUCAUAGGGGAGGCUGAGGAAAGAGGGAGACUCCUGCCAAGCUGCAUGCCCCCGAGGGCUCUGCCAGCUGCUGCCAGCACGACUUCAGUGGAGGGCGGGGUGGAAAUGGCUUAAGGAGUUGCCAAAGAACAGGGAGGAAGAGCUGGUGCAUCGGGAAGAUGGGGGCUUCCAGGAAGGACACCUGGGUUGCAUUCUGGUGUAACUUUGGGUAAAUUACUUCCUUCCCACCGCCCCUGGGCCUCAGUUUCCCCUUCUGUGAAGUGUGAGGCUGCACUCAUGCUGCACCAUCCUUAUGCAUCCUGAUAGACUAUUCUAGGGUCCCUUUUUUAUAUCUUAUUGUGAAUAUUAUCUGGCAAUGCCUAGAUAAAUAUUUUUCAAGAAAAUAUCUUUACCACAAUCCUUAGUAAGAAAUACAUUUUACACAGUAAUCUAGUGUGUGUGUGUGUGUGUGUGUGUGUGUGUGUGUAUGUAUGUAUGUAUGUAUAUAUAUAAAUAUAUAAAACUGAAACAAAGUUUUCACAAAUCAAUGCUUACCCUUCCUACAAGGAUAGACAUGUAGAUUAAUGGACCAGCAGAAAGAGUCCAGAAAUAAAUCUACGCAUUUAUGGUCAAGUGAUUUCCAACCAAGGUGCCAAGGCAAUUCAGUGAGGAAAGAUAGCCUUUUUAGGUGGUGGCACAACUGGAUAUCCAUAUGCAAAAAUCCACCCAGACAUCCAUCCAUCCAGACAUACAUAUAUACGUGUAUAUACUUACACCCUUACUUCACGUGAUACACAAAAAUGAAUUAAAAAUGGACCUUAGAUUGAAAUGUAAGAGCUAAAAGUAAGGAGCGAACUAUGUGUACUUGUUAACCACAAGGACGAUCCUCAUGAACAUUAUGUUAAGUGAAAGAAGACGAACGUGAAAGACUAAAUACUUUGUGUUUCCAUUUACAUGAAAUUUCUAGAAAAGGCAAAACAUUAGAGACAGAAAGCAGCUUGGAGGUUUAUUUGGGCUGUAGGGCUGCUAACAGGCAUGGGGGAACUUUGUGAAGUGACAGCAGUGUUCUGAAACUGUGGUGAUGGUUACACAGCCCUAUAAAUUAGCUAAAAAUCAUCAAAUUGUACACUUACAAUGGAUGAACUUUAUAAUAUGUAAAUUAUAACUCAAAGAGACACACUAAUAAAAUUAAA